rnacentral:rRNA from 1 species
UGGGGAAUCUUCCGCAAUGGACGAAAGUCUGACGGAGCAACGCCGCGUGAGUGAAGAAGGUUUUCGGAUCGUAAAACUCUGUCUUUUGGGGCGAACUGAGUAUGGUGAACAAUCAUAGUCAGUGACGGUACCAAAGGAGGAAGCCACGGCUAACUACGUGCCAGCAGCCGCGGUAAUACGUAGGUGGCAAGCGUUGUCCGGAAUUAUUGGGCGUAAAGAGCGCGUAGGCGGGAUAGUCAGUCUGUUGUAAAGUGCGGGGCUCAACCCCGUGAUGGCAAUGGAAACAGCUAUUCUUGAGUGCAGGAGAGGAAAGUGGAAUUCCCAGUGUAGCGGUGAAAUGCGUAGAUAUUGGGAGGAACACCAGUGGCGAAGGCGACUUUCUGGACUGUGUCUGACGCUGAGGCGCGAAAGCCAGGGGGAGCGAACGGGAUUUAGAUACCCCCGGUAGUCCUGGGCCGUAAACGAUGGGUACUAGGUGUGGGAGGUAUCGACCCCCUUCCGUGCCGGAGUUAACGCAAUAAGUACCCCCGCCUGGGGAGUACGGUCGCAAGACUGAAACUCAAAGGAAUUGACGGGGUCAUAGCUGUUUCCUG